AUGAACGCUAGCUACAGGCUUAACACAUGCAAGUCGAGGGGCAGCGGGAUUGAAGCUUGCUUCAAUUGCCGGCGACCGGCGCACGGGUGAGUAACGCGUAUCCAACCUUCCGCUUACUCGGGGAUAGCCUUUCGAAAGAAAGAUUAAUACCCGAUGGUAUCUUAAGCACGCAUGAGAUUAAGAUUAAAGAUUUAUCGGUAAGCGAUGGGGAUGCGUUCCAUUAGGCAGUUGGCGGGGUAACGGCCCACCAAACCUACGAUGGAUAGGGGUUCUGAGAGGAAGGUCCCCCACAUUGGAACUGAGACACGGUCCAAACUCCUACGGGAGGCAGCAGUGAGGAAUAUUGGUCAAUGGGCGAGAGCCUGAACCAGCCAAGUAGCGUGAAGGAUGACGGCCCUACGGGUUGUAAACUUCUUUUGUGCGGGAAUAAAGGAACCUACGUGUAGGUUUUUGCAUGUACCGUAACGAAUAAGCAUCGGCUAACUCCGUGCCAGCAGCCGCGGUAAUACGGAGGAUGCGAGCGUUAUCCGGAUUUAUUGGGUUUAAAGGGAGCGUAGACGGGUUUUUAAGUCAGCUGUGAAAGUUUGGGGCUCAACCUUAAAAUUGCAGUUGAAACUGGAGACCUUGAGUACGGUUGAGGCAGGCGGAAUUCGUGGUGUAGCGGUGAAAUGCUUAGAUAUCACGAAGAACUCCGAUUGCGAAGGCAGCUCACUGGAGUGUAACUGACGCUGAUGCUCGAAAGUGUGGGUAUCAAACAGGAUUAGAUACCCUGGUAGUCCGCACGGUAAACGAUGGAUACUCGCUGUUGGCGAUAGACAGUCAGCGGCCAAGCGAAAGCGUUAAGUAUCCCACCUGGGGAGUACGCCGGCAACGGUGAAACUCAAAGGAAUUGACGGGGGCCCGCACAAGCAGUGGAGUAUGUGGUUUAAUUCGACGCAACGCGAAGAACCUUACCAAGUCUUGACAUCCCUCUGACCGUUCCUUAACCGGAACUUUCCUUCGGGACAGGGGAGACAGGUGGUGCAUGGUUGUCGUCAGCUCGUGCCGUGAGGUGUCGGCUUAAGUGCCAUAACGAGCGCAACCCUUGCUGCCAGUUACUAACAGGUCAUGCUGAGGACUCUGGCAGGACUGCCAUCGUAAGAUGCGAGGAAGGUGGGGAUGACGUCAAAUCAGCACGGCCCUUACGUCCGGGGCUACACACGUGUUACAAUGGGGAGUACAGAGGGCAGCUACCGGGCGACCGGAUGCGAAUCCCGAAAGCUCCUCUCAGUUCGGACUGGAGUCUGCAACCCGACUCCACGAAGCUGGAUUCGCUAGUAAUCGCGCAUCAGCCACGGCGCGGUGAAUACGUUCCCGGGCCUUGUACACACCGCCCGUCAAGCCAUGAAAGCCGGGGGUACCUGAAGUACGUAACCGCGAGGAUCGUCCUAGGGUAAAACCGGUAAUUGGGGCU
rnacentral:rRNA from 1 species